rnacentral:rRNA from 1 species
AUGAUUUGGAUGAGUGGAUCAGAGGACGACAUGAGCAGGACCAUAGCGGACCAUUGCAAUGUGGCAAAUCAAAUUUCAAUACUCAACACUCUUCUAUGUGGAUUAGAAGACCACAGGUGGAGUGUGCUUGGACGGCAGCUUGGCCGCCAACUGCACACCCUUCUAGGCGGCCAAGCAGAGAUUCUUUGCCUUGGCAACCGCCUUGGCCUAGAGCCAUGCCAGGUCGUCGUCGCCGAGGAUGGAUGCCAGCAACAACAUCGAUUUUUGUGGUACCGACGAAGUUGGUUGUGGGGCAAGACCAUGGCGGGGUGGCGCGAGGCCAUGGUGGGGAGAGGACAUGGGCACGAGGCUUUGAUAUCGAGCUCCUUCUUUUACAACGAAGGGCAUGACGGAUGGCACCGGCGGAAAGGUGAGCGCCGGUGGAGAUAA